rnacentral:lncRNA from 8 species
GGAGGGGCCAUAGGGAGAAAGGGGCCAUAGGGAAGGAGGGAGGGGCCAUAGGGAAGGAGGGAGGGGCCAUAGGGAAGGAGGGAGGGGCCAUAGGGAAGGAGGGAGGGGCCAUAGGGAGGAAGGGGCCAUGGGGAGUUACUCUAGUCCCCCACUAGACUGUAUGGGAGCAAAGCCUUUCAUUGUAGGAGUGCUGAUCUAUGAUCAGGUUAGUAUUUUAUAUAAUAAUAAAUAAGAAGGGGAACCUGAUCCCAGAUCAGCACUCCGACAGGUGCUUUGAGAAAACAGGCCUGUAAUGUAGAGAGGUACCACAAGGGGGCGUAGGAGGGAUGUCUAUCCACUGUGUUGUCGCCUGCUACUGUGUCCAUAGAGAGAGCAAGGCAGCUUCCUUAACUUUGAUGAUGGAAGGCAGAGAUGGUCAACUGGCAGAAAAUUCAGCCCGCGGACAAUUUUAUUUGGCCCGUCAAAUUUUUUCUGAGAUAAAAAAAAUUAUAAUUUGUUUUUCGACAUAAAAGAUGAGGAAUUCACCUCAAAAUAAUUUUAUUUUAAGGAAAUCUGUUCUCAAGUAAUUCCACUGAUAAACAGAGAGAUGCGAUUGUGUAUCAAUGUAAUCAACAUUAGAUAUUUUAUUUUAAUUUAUCAAAUAUAAUAUCUGUUUGGGAUUUUUGCAUCAAUUUGUAAUCUACAAAUGAAUUUGUCUUAUGUUCUGGCCUUCCGACCGUCCACACAAUAAAAAAAACAACAUAUUGUAGCUGAAUCUAGUUGAUGAUCCUGGAUGUAACAUUUCACGAGAUUCAAGUGUGUGUGUUGUGUGGUGUGUGGUGGUGUGUGUGUGUGGUGUGGUGUGUGUGUGUGUGUGGUGUGGUGUGUGUGUGUUGUGUGUGUGUGUGUGGUGUGUGGUGUGUGUGGUGGUGUGGUGUGUGUGUGUGUGUGUGUGUGUGUGUGUGGGUGUGUUUUACUAACCCUCCUCUCUCUCUCUGUUUACAGUGUGGAACCGUCCUGAAUACAUAUGAGUACAUCGUCAGACAGGGCCAUCGCCAGGAGUCCAGAGACAUCAGUAAAGGAGUACAGGGGAACCAAGCAGCUCCUCCUAAAACCAACCUCAUGAAGGCGCUGCAUUCAUGUGGUAAUGUCAUCAUCUCGUCUCGCCCGGUGCCAUCGGUGUGUUUAGUAAACAUGCUGCGUAUCAUAGUGACAUCAGUCCAUUCAGACAUAGAAUAGUCCCCAAUGGCACCCUUAUUCCCUUAUGUAGUGCACUACUCAUAGGGCUCUAGGUCAGAACUAGUGCACUACGUAGAGAAUAGGGUGCCAUUUGGGAUGAACAUAGUAGGUGACAACUAUUAAAGGGGACACGGUAUCUAUCGUUCUUAGAGAGAGAGAGACAGAGAGAGAGACAGAGAGAGAGAUAAAGAGAGAGAGACAGAGGGAGAGAGAGAGAGAGAGAUACAGAGAGAGAGAGAUACAGAGAGAGAGAGAUAAAGAGAUAAAGAGAGAGAGAGAGGGAGAUAAAGUGAGAGAGGGAGAUAAAGUGAGAGAGAGAGAGAUAAAGAGAGAGAGAGAGAGAGAGAGAGGGAUAAAGAGAGAGAGAGGGAUAAAGAGAGAGAGAGAGAUAAAGAGAGAGAGAGAAAUAAAGAGAGAGAGAUAGAGAGAGAGCAACACACUCACAUUACAGCUAAACGCUCGCCCUCAGCCCAUGUGACACGCCAGGGAACUGAUCGUCACACACACACACACACGCCGAGAGGUCGCCCAGCCACGACCACAGACGUUACAGCUUGUGCACGGUAACCCAUGACGACCUGAGUGUUGUAUCGUGGGUGUGAUAACGUGGCUGACUACACCGCUAGGAUAGUAGUACAUACUGACCUCCCUCGGCUGACUACACCACUAGGAUAGUAGUACAUACCGACCUCCCUCGGCUGACUACACCACUAGGAUAGUAGUACAUACCGACCUCCCUCGGCUGACUACACCACUAGGAUAGUAGUACAUACCGACCUCCCUCGGCUGACUACACCACUAGGAUAGUAGUACAUACCGACCUCCCUCGGCUGACUACACCACUAGGAUAGCAGUACAUACCGACCUCCCUCGGCUGACUACACCACUAGGAUAGUAGUACAUACCGACCUCCCUCGGCUGACUACACCACUAGGAUAGUAGUACAUACUGACCUCCCUCGGCUGACUACACCGCUAGGAUAGUAGUACAUACUGACCUCCCUCGGCUGACUACACCGCUAGGAUAGUAGUACAUACUGACCUCCCUCGGCUGACUACACCACUAGGAUAGUAGUACAUACUGACCUCCCUCGGCUGACUACACCACUAGGAUAGUAGUACAUACUGACCUCCCUCGGCUGACUACACCACUAGGAUAGUAGUACAUACUGACCUCCCUCGGCUAACUACACCACUAGGAUAGUAGUACAUACUGACCUCCCUCGGCUGACUACACCACUAGGAUAGUAGUACAUACUGACCUCCCUCGGCUGACUACACCACUAGGAUAGUAGUACAUACCGACCUCCCUCGGCUGACUACACCACUAGGAUAGUAGUACAUACUGACCUCCCUCGGCUGACUACACCACUAGGAUAGUAGUACAUACUGACCUCCCUCGGCUGACUACACCACUAGGAUAGUAGUACAUACCGACCUCCCUCGGCUGACUACACCACUAGGAUAGUAGUACAUACCGACCUCCCUCGGCUGACUACACCACUAGGAUAGUAGUACAUACUGACCUCCCUCGGCUGACUACACCACUAGGAUAGUAGUACAUACUGACCUCCCUCGGCUGACUACACCACUAGGAUAGUAGUACAUACUGACCUCCCUCGGCUGACUACACCACUAGGAUAGUAGUACAUACUGACCUCCCUCGGCUGACUACACCACUAGGAUAGUAGUACAUACUGACCUCCCUCAGCUGACUACACCACUAGGAUAGUAGUACAUACUGACCUCCCUCAGCUGACUACACCACUAGGAUAGUAGUACAUACCGACCUCCCUCGGCUGACUACACAAUGCAAAUAGUCUGGGUAGC